GGGCGAUUAGCUCAGCCGGAAGAGCGCCACGUUCACACCGUGGAGGUCACAGGAUCAAAACCUGUAUCGCCCA
rnacentral:tRNA from 1 species